rnacentral:rRNA from 1 species
UACGUAGGGGGCGAGCGUUGUCCGGAUUUAUUGGGCGUAAAGAGCGUGUAGGCGGCCAGGUAGGUCUGCUGUGAAAACUCGAGGCUCAACCUCGAGACGUCGGCGGAAACCAUCUGGCUAGAGUCCGGAAGAGGAGAGUGGAAUUCCUGGUGUAGCGGUGAAAUGCGCAGAUAUCAGGAGGAACACCUAUGGCGAAAGCAGCUCUCUGGGACGGUACUGACGCUGAGACGCGAAAGCGUGGGGAGCGAACAGG